rnacentral:rRNA from 1 species
AACGAACGCUGGCGGCAGGCUUAACACAUGCAAGUCGAACGAACGUAGCAAUACGUUAGUGGCAGACGGGUGAGUAACGCGUGGGAAUAUGCCCUAUGGUUUGGAAUAACUCAGGGAAACUUGAGCUAAUACCGGGUAAGCCCGAGAGGGGAAAGAUUUAUCGCCAUCGGAGUAGCCCGCGUCUGAUUAGCUAGUUGGUGAGGUAAUGGCUCACCAAGGCGACGAUCAGUAGCUGGUCUGAGAGGAUGAUCAGCCACACUGGGACUGAGACACGGCCCAGACUCCUACGGGAGGCGGCAGUGGGGAAUAUUGGACAAUGGGGGCAACCCUGAUCCAGCCAUGCCGCGUGAGUGAUGAAGGCCUUAGGGUUGUAAAACUCUUUUAUCCGGGAAGAUAAUGACUGUACCGGAAGAAUAAGCCCCGGCUAACUUCGUGCCAGCCGCCGCUGUAAGAU